UACGUAGGGGGCAAGCGUUGUCCGGAAUCAUUGGGCGUAAAGAGCGUGUAGGCGGCCAGAAAAGUCCGCUGUGAAAACUCGAGGCUCAACUUCGAGCUGUCGGUGGAAACUUUCUGGCUAGAGUCCGGAAGAGGAGAAUGGAAUUCCUGGUGUAGAGGUGAAAUUCGUAGAUAUCAGGAGGAACACCAGUGGCGAAGGCGGCUUCCUGGACACCAACUGACGCUGAGACGCGAAAGCGUGGGGAGCAAACAGG
rnacentral:rRNA from 1 species